GAUACGGGACUCAUCCGAGGCCCCGUAAUCGGAAUGAAUACACUUUAAAUCCUUUAAUGAGGAUCCAUUGGAGGGCAAGUCUGGUGCCAGCAGCCGCGGUAAUUCCAGCUCCAAUAGCGUAUAUUAAAGUUGUUGCGGUUAAAAAGCUCGUAGUUGAAUUUGUGUCUCGUACUGUUGGUUCACCGCUUGUCGGUGUUAACUGACACGUUAUGGGACGUCCUACCGGUGGGCUUAGCUGAGGUAAAACUUGGCGGUCCAAUAUAUCCCAUCGCGGUGCUCUUAAUUGAGUGUCGAGGUGGGCCGGUACGUUUACUUUGAACAAAUUAGAGUGCUUAAAGCAGGCUUAUUUUGCCUGAAUACUGGUGCAUGGAAUAAUAGAAUAGGACCUCGGUUCUAUUUUGUUGGUUUUCGGAAUUCCGAGGUAAUGAUUAAUAGGGACAGAUGGGGGCAUUCGUAUUGCGACGUUAGAGGUGAAAUUCUUGGAUCGUCGCAAGACGAACAGAAGCGAAAGCAUUUGCCAAAAAUGUUUUCAUUAAUCAAGAACGAAAGUUAGAGGUUCGAAGGCGAUCAGAUACCGCCCUAGUUCUAACCAUAAACGAUGCCAGCUAGCGAUCCGCCGAAGUUCCUCCGAUGACUCGGCGGGCAGCUUCCGGGAAACCAAAGCUUUUGGGUUCCGGGGGAAGUAUGGUUGCAAAGCUGAAACUUAAAGGAAU
rnacentral:rRNA from 1 species